CAGCAGCCACGGGAAUGCGUAGGGUGCAAGCGUUAAUCGGAAUUACUGGGCGUAAAGCGUGCGCAGGCGGUUCGUUAAGACAGAUGUGAAAUCCCCGGGCUUAACCUGGGAACUGCAUUUGUGACUGGCGAGCUAGAGUAUGGCAGAGGGGGGUAGAAUUCCACGUGUAGCAGUGAAAUGCGUAGAGAUGUGGAGGAAUACCGAUGGCGAAGGCAGCCCCCUGGGCCAAUACCGACGCUCAUGCACGAAAGCGUGGGGAGCAAACAGGAUUAGAUACCCCCGUAGUCCCUGUCUCUUAUAC
rnacentral:rRNA from 1 species